rnacentral:rRNA from 1 species
AACGAACGUUAGCGGCGCGCUUAACACAUGCAAGUCGAGCGGAAAGGCCCUUCGGGGUACUCGAGCGGCGCACGGGUGAGUAACACGUGGGAAUCUACCUUUUGGCGGGGGAUAACACUUCGAAAGAGGUGCUAAUACCGCAUGUGACCGAGAGGGGAAAGGCGGCUUCGGCUGUCACCAGAAGAUGAGCCCGCGGCCCAUCAGCUAGUUGGUAGGGUAAAGGCCUACCAAGGCAAUGACGGGUAGCUGGUCUGAGAGGACGACCAGUCACACUGGAACUGAGACACGGUCCAGACUCCUACGGGAGGCAGCAGUGGGGAAUAUUGCGCAAUGGGCGAAAGCCUGACGCAGCGACGCCGCGUGGGUGAUGAAGGUCUUCGGAUCGUAAAGCCCAGUUGGAGGGGAAAGAAAAAGCUUACGGUUAAUACCCGUAGGUCUUGACGGUACCCCUUCAGAAAGCACCGGCUAACUCCGUGCCAGCAGCCGCGGUAAUACGGAGGGUGCAAACGUUGUUCGGAAUCACUGGGCGUAAAGCGCGUGUAGGCGGCGCGAUAAGUCAGAUGUGAAAGCCCUCGGCUCAACCGGGGAAGUGCAUUUGAAACUGUCGCGCUAGAGUACGGGAGAGGGUCGUGGAAUUCCUGGUGUAGAGGUGAAAUUCGUAGAUAUCAGGAGGAACACCGGUGGCGAAGGCGGCGACCUGGACCG